rnacentral:rRNA from 1 species
UACGUAGGGUGCGAGCGUUAAUCGGAAUUACUGGGCGUAAAGGGCUCGUAGGCGGCCAACUAAGUCGGACGUGAAAUCCCUCAGCUUAACUGGGGAACUGCGUCCGAUACUGGAUGGCUUGGAUUUGGGAGAGGGAUGCGGAAUUCCAGGUGUAGCGGCGAAAUGCGUAGAUAUCUGGAGGAACACCAGAGGCGAAGGCGGCGACCUGGACAGUGACUGACACUCAACUACGAAAGCGUGGGGAGCAAACAGG